rnacentral:sRNA from 1 species
GACAGAGUGAGGGAGGGUGUGACUAGUGACAGAGAGAGGGAGUGGGUGACUAGUGACAGAGUGAGGGAGGUGGUGAUUAGUGACAGAGGGAGGGAUGGGGUGACUAGUGACAGUCACCACCUCCUUCACUCUGUCACUAGUCACCCCCUCCCUCACUCUGUCAUUGUGUCACCCACUCCCUCCCUCACUCUGUCACUAGUCACCCCCUCCCUCACUCUGUCAUU